rnacentral:rRNA from 1 species
GGGGAAUCUUGCGCAAUGGGCGAAAGCCUGACGCAGCGACGCCGCGUGGGUGAUGAAGGCCUUCGGGUUGUAAAGCUCUGUGGGGAGAGACGAAUAAGACGUGGCUAACAUCCCCGGCGAUGACGGUAUCUCCUUAGCAAGCACCGGCUAACUCUGUGCCAGCAGCCGCGGUAAGACAGAGGGUGCAAACGUUGUUCGGAAUUACUGGGCGUAAAGCGUGUGUAGGCGGCCAGGUAAGUUGGAUGUGAAAGCCCGGGGCUCAACCCCGGAAGUGCAUUCAAAACUGCUUGGCUUGAGUAUCGGAGAGGUUGGUGGAAUGGGUCAUGUAGCGGUGAAAUGCUUAGAUAUGACCCGGAACACCAAUUGCGAAGGCAGCAGGCUAAACGAAAAUUGACGCUGAGGCUCGAAAGCGUGGGGAUCAAAC